AGUGCUUGACUAAAACUAAAAUAAACCAAAUUUUCAAACGGGGCAUUAAAUGAUUGAAUCCAAAUUUACUCUAUAAAUAAAAUCAAACGGACUUUAUUCCCUUCUUACAUCCAUGCUCUUUUUUUUUUUUUUUUUGGCUGAAUCCUUCAUUGAUCUAAGUUGGGGGCUAUAGAAAAUAUUUGAGAUACUUUGUUUUAUCUUCCUCCUCUACAUCAAAAUGACUUUCUCCAAGGCCUUUAUCUUCACAAGGGUUAUCAUCUUGCUGAUAUUCUCGGCAGUUGCUAUUGCCACGCUUCAAGAUGCAAAACUCAAUCCGAACCUCGGACGAAGAGUCCUUAGUUUAGCUAACCAGCGUCCCCUCCAACCCGACUCUCCCUCAAACAGAGCAGGCACACCGUUGCCACCAUCACCUAGUGGCCGCCACAUAGACACAGCACCAUCACCCUAUGAUGGAACACGGGUGCCACCAUCCCCUAGCGGCGGCGUCCCACCAGCUGGGUAAGGUACGCUUCCAUCCUACGGCAAGUCCGCCUGGAAAGAGAACUUGCUUAGCCAGCCACCGGAAAAGCAAUAUGGAUGUUAGAGAAGGACCGAUAUGUUACCCUAUUUAAUGUGAUUUAUAAUUGAAGGUGAGUGUACGCUAUAAAAUUAACUGUGUGCAUAAGUGCUAAGAGUAUGUGUUUCAUGCUACAGCUCAGUUUUAUUUUAAGGAUAUUGUGUCAAUUACCAUUGUGUGUGAUAUGUGCUUACGUUUAUUAUUAUAACAGCUUGGUUUCAAAAUUAUAAUGUAUUAUAUAUAGCUUUUUUAUUCAGGUAAAAUUUGGUAA